rnacentral:rRNA from 1 species
UGAGGAAUAUUGGUCAAUGGGCGCGAGCCUGAACCAGCCAAGUAGCGUGAAGGAUGAAGGUCCUAUGGAUUGUAAACUUCUUUUAUAGCAGAAUAAAGUGACCCACGUGUGGGUUUUUGUAUGUAUGCUAUGAAUAAGGAUCGGCUAACUCCGUGCCAGCAGCCGCGGUAAUACGGAGGAUCCGAGCGUUAUCCGGAUUUAUUGGGUUUAAAGGGUGCGUAGGCGGAAAGAUAAGUCAGCCUGUGAAAGUUUGCGGCUCAACCGUAAAAUUGCAGUUGAUACUGUUUGUCUUGAGUGUACAUAAGGUAGGCGGAAUUCGUGGUGUAGCGGUGAAAUGCUUAGAUAUCACGAAGAACUCCGAUUGCGAAGGCAGCUUACCGGGGUACAACUGACGCUGAUGCACGAAAGUGUGGGUAUCAAACA